rnacentral:rRNA from 1 species
UACAGAGGUCCCAAGCGUUGUUCGGAUUCACUGGGCGUAAAGGGUGCGUAGGCGGUCGGGUAAGUCUGAUGUGAAAUCUCACAGCUUAACUGUGAAACUGCAUUGGAUACUAUCCGGCUAGAGGAAUGGAGGGGAGACUGGAAUACUUGGUGUAGCAGUGAACUGCGUAGAUAUCAAGUGGAACACCAGUGGCGAAGGCGAGUCUCUGGACAUUUCCUGACGCUGAGGCACGAAAGCCAGGGGAGCAAACGGG